GAUGAAGAACGUAGCGAAAUGCGAUACGUAAUGUGAAUUGCAAAUUCAGUGAAUCAUCGAGUCUUUGAACGCACAUUGCGCCCCCUGGUAUUCCGGGGGGCAUGCCUGUCCGAGCGUCAUUGCUGCCCUCAAGCACGGCUUGUGUGUUGGGCCCCGUCCUCCGAUUCCGGGGGACGGGCCCGAAAGGCAGCGGCGGCACCGCGUCCGGUCCUCGAGCGUAUGGGGCUUUGUCACCCGCUCUGUAGGCCCGGCCGGCGCUUGCCGAUCAACCCAAAUUUUUAUCCAGGUUGACCUCGGAUCAGGUAGGGAUACCCGCUGAACUUAAGCAUACAAUAAGCGGAGGA
rnacentral:misc_RNA from 1 species